rnacentral:piRNA from 1 species
UGCAAGAACAAGUACUCUCAGUUGUUG